UCUCCGUAGGUGAACCUGCGGAGGGAUCAUUACACAAAUAUGAAGGCGGGCUGGAACCUCUCGGGGUUACAGCCUUGCUGAAUUAUUCACCCUUGUCUUUUGCGUACUUCUUGUUUCCUUGGUGGGUUCGCCCACCACUAGGACAAACAUAAACCUUUUGUAAUUGCAAUCAGCGUCAGUAACAAAUUAAUAAUUACAACUUUCAACAACGGAUCUCUUGGUUCUGGCAUCGAUGAAGAACGCAGCGAAAUGCGAUAAGUAGUGUGAAUUGCAGAAUUCAGUGAAUCAUCGAAUCUUUGAACGCACAUUGCGCCCUUUGGUAUUCCAAAGGGCAUGCCUGUUCGAGCGUCAUUUGUACCCUCAAGCUAUGCUUGGUGUUGGGCGUCUUGUCUCUAGCUUUGCUGGAGACUCGCCUUAAAGUAAUUGGCAGCCGGCCUACUGGUUUCGGAGCGCAGCACAAGUCGCACUCUCUAUCAGCAAAGGUCUAGCAUCCAUUAAGCCUUUUUUUCAACUUUUGACCUCGGAUCAGGUAGGGAUACCCGCUGAACUUAAGCAUAUCA
rnacentral:rRNA from 1 species